GACGAACGCUGGCGGCGUGCUUAACACAUGCAAGUCGAACGCUGAAGCACAGCUUUUGUUGGGUGGAUGAGUGGCGAACGGGUGAGUAACACGUGAGUAACCUGCCCCCUUCUUUGGGAUAACGCCCGGAAACGGGUGCUAAUACUGGAUAUUCACUGGUCUUCGCAUGGGGGUUGGUGGAAAGGGUUUUUCUGGUGGGGGAUGGGCUCGCGGCCUAUCAGCUUGUUGGUGGGGUGAUGGCCUACCAAGGCUUUGACGGGUAGCCGGCCUGAGAGGGUGACCGGUCACAUUGGGACUGAGAUACGGCCCAGACUCCUACGGGAGGCAGCAGUGGGGAAUAUUGCACAAUGGGCGCAAGCCUGAUGCAGCGACGCCGCGUGAGGGAUGGAGGCCUUCGGGUUGUGAACCUCUUUCGCUCAUGGUCAAGCCGCAACAAUGGUUGUGGUGAGGGUAGUGGGUAAAGAAGCGCCGGCUAACUACGUG
rnacentral:rRNA from 1 species